GAGUUUGAUCGUGGCUCAGAUUGAACGCUGGCGGCAUGCCUUACACAUGCAAGUCGAACGGCAGCACGGGAGCUUGCUCCUGGUGGCGAGUGGCGAACGGGUGAGUAAUGCAUCGGAACGUAUCCUGGAGUGGGGGAUAACGUAGCGAAAGUUACGCUAAUACCGCAUAUUCUGUGAGCAGGAAAGCGGGGGACCUUCGGGCCUCGCGCUCUUGGAGCGGCCGAUGUCGGAUUAGCUAGUUGGUGAGGUAAAGGCUCACCAAGGCGACGAUCCGUAGCAGGUCUGAGAGGAUGAUCUGCCACACUGGAACUGAGACACGGUCCAGACUCCUACGGGAGGCAGCAGUGGGAAUUUUGGACAAUGGGGGCAACCCUGAUCCAGCCAUGCCGCGUGAGUGAAGAAGGCCU
rnacentral:rRNA from 22 species